AUUGAACGCUGGCGGCAGGCCUAACACAUGCAAGUCGAGCGGAUGAAGGGAGCUUGCUCCUGGAUUCAGCGGCGGACGGGUGAGUAAUUCCUAGGAAUCUGCCUGGUAGUGGGGGAUAACGUCCGGAAACGGGCGCUAAUACCGCAUACGUCCUGAGGGAGAAAGUGGGGGAUCUUCGGACCUCACGCUAUCAGAUGAGCCUAGGUCGGAUUAGCUAGUUGGUGGGGUAAAGGCCUACCAAGGCGACGAUCCGUAACUGGUCUGAGAGGAUGAUCAGUCACACUGGAACUGAGACACGGUCCAGACUCCUACGGGAGGCAGCAGUGGGGAAUAUUGGACAAUGGGCGAAAGCCUGAUCCAGCAAUGCCGCGUGUGUGAAGAAGGUCUUCGGAUUGUAAAGCACUUUAAGUUGGGAGGAAGGGCAGUAAGUUAAUACCUUGCUGUUUUGACGUUACCAACAGAAUAAGCACCGGCUAACUUCGUG
rnacentral:rRNA from 1 species